rnacentral:rRNA from 1 species
GAAGCGGCAACAGCUCAAAUUUGAAAUCUGGCCCUUUCGGGGUCCGAGUUGUAAUUUGUAGAGAGUGUUUCGGGUGAGAUCACGGUCUAAGUCCAUUGGAACAUGGCGUCAUAGAGGGUGAGAAUCCCGUAUGUGACUGUGGAUCGAGCCCAUGUGAAGCCUCUUCGACGAGUCGAGUUGUUUGGGAAUGCAGCUCAAAAUGGGUGGUAAAUUUCAUCUAAAGCUAAAUACCGGCUGGAGACCGAUAGCGCACAAGUAGAGUGAUCGAAAGAUGAAAAGCACUUUGGAAAGAGAGUCAAACAGUACGUGAAAUUGUUGAAAGGGAAGCGCUUGCAACCAGACCUGUCCGUAGGUGAUCAGCCGCUGUUCUCAGUGGUGCACUCGCUCUGCGAUCAGGCCAGCAUCGGUUCGGGCGGUCGGAUAAAGGCCUUGGGAAUGUAGCUUCUUUCGGGGAGCCUUAUAGCCCUCGGUGCAAUGCGGCCAGCCGGGACCGAGGACCGCGCUUCGGCUAGGAUGCUGGCGUAAUGGUUGUAAGCGACCCGUCUUGAAACACGGACCAAGGAGUCUAACAUCUAUGCGAGUGUUUGGGUGUUAAACCCAUGCGCGGAAUGAAAGUGAACGGAGGUGAGAACCCCUAAGGGCGCAUCAUCGACCGAUCCAUAUGUCUUCGGAUGGAUUUGAGUAUGAGCAUAGCUGUUGGGACCCGAAAGAUGGUGAACUAUGCCUGAAUAGGGUGAAGCCAGAGGAAACUCUGGUGGAGGCUCGCAGCGGU